UACGUAGGUGGCAAGCGUUGUCCGGAUUUAUUGGGUUUAAAGGGUGCGUAGGCGGCUUUGUAAGUCAGUGGUGAAAUAUGGCAGCUCAACUGUCAAGGUGCCAUUGAUACUGCGGAGCUUGAGUACAGAUGAGGUAGGCGGAAUUGACGGUGUAGCGGUGAAAUGCUUAGAUGUCGUCAAGAACACCUAUAGCGAAGGCAGCUUACUAGGCUGUAACUGACGCUGAGGCACGAAAGUGUGGGGAUCAAACAGG
rnacentral:rRNA from 1 species